rnacentral:rRNA from 1 species
UACAGAGGGUGCAAGCGUUAAUCGGAAUUACUGGGCGUAAAGCGAGCGUAGUCGGUUAUUUAAGUCGGAUGUGAAAUCCCCGGGCUCAACCUGGGAAUUGCAUUCGAUACUGGAUAGCUAGAGUUCGGCAGAGGGAAGCGGAAUUUCUGGUGUAGCGGUGAAAUGCGUAGAUAUCUGGAGGAACACCGGUGGCGAAGGCGGCAUUCUGGACUGUAACUGACACUGAGGAACGAAAGCCAGGGGAGCAAACGGG